AGGAAAUGGCAGCGCCAGUCGAGGUCGAAGGCAUACCAUCAGAGGGCCAAAAACGAUGGCGUUUUUCCUCGUCACGGUCCGAGUACGGAGGCAUUUACUGGCUCCUCAACAAGCGUAAGCAGAGGCCGACGAAGCUUAGGUUUAUGUCCUCUGCAAAAAAAAUUCUUCUUUUUGAUUUUGUGAAUAAUAUAUUCUUUUAUUCCUUUUCUGACGUAUAUUUGAUUUUUUUGUGGGGGGACUAUUGAUCCUGGGACAUUGCUGAUUUUCUUCGCUGGGAGGUUUAAGGGGAAGAGACUUUCCUUGAAACAGCUUCCGUCCGGGUUGCUCUGAGUUUACUGGACCAUAUAUGAAUGUGAUCGAUAGUGUUCCACCAAGACGUGUAGACCAAUCCUAUGUUAUUGGAACUUCCACCAAAGUUGAUAUAAGGUGGCUGGAGAGUUUUUUGGUUCUGAGAAAAAGGAAAAGUAGCUCCCAGGCCAUGAGUGAAGAAAGAUGACCAGAAGGCUGUUGAUGCACCACUACUAAAAUCCAUCGAAGGAGUGCCAGACUUAAAGACCUACCUGGUUGCAAGAUUUUCCCUCAAGUCAGGCAUGAAACCUCACACUCUUGUCUUCUAGGGGGCGUUCAUUCCACUUUUUAUUUGUUUUAUGCUAUAAUUGUUUUGGUUUAUAUUCUCACGUGGUUACAUAGCAGACAUUUCAUGAGUUGAACACAAUUUCCAUUUUAUUGGCCUAUUUAUGCAAGCAAUUUAUUUUUCCU